CAAGUCGAACGAGUUCUCGUUGAUGAUCGGUGCUUGCACCGAGAUUCAACAUGGCACGAGUGGCGGACGGGUGAGUAACACGUGGGUAACCUGCCCUUAAGUGGGGGAUAACAUUUGGAAACAGAUGCUAAUACCGCAUAAAUCCAAGAACCGCAUGGUUCUUGGCUGAAAGAUGGCGUAAGCUAUCGCUUUUGGAUGGACCCGCGGCGUAUUAGCUAGUUGGUGAGGUAACGGCUCACCAAGGCGAUGAUACGUAGCCGAACUGAGAGGUUGAUCGGCCACAUUGGGACUGAGACACGGCCCAAACUCCUACGGGAGGCAGCAGUAGGGAAUCUUCCACAAUGGACGCAAGUCUGAUGGAGCAACGCCGCGUGAGUGAAGAAGGCUUUCGGGUCGUAAAACUCUGUUGUUGGAGAAGAAUGGUCGGCAGAGUAACUGUUGUCGGCGUGACGGUAUCCAACCAGAAAGCCACGGCUAACUACGUGCCAGCAGCCGCGGUAAUACGUAGGUGGCAAGCGUUAUCCGGAUUUAUUGGGCGUAAAGCGAGCGCAGGCGGUUUUUUAAGUCUGAUGUGAAAGCCCUCGGCUUAACCGAGGAAGCGCAUCGGAAACUGGGAAACUUGAGUGCAGAAGUGGACAGUGGAACUCCAUGUGUAGCGGUGAAAUGCGUAGAUAUAUGGAAGAACACCAGUGGCGAAGGCGGCUGUCUGGUCUGUAACUGACGCUGAGGCUCGAAAGCAUGGGUAGCGAACAGGAUUAGAUACCCUGGUAGUCCAUGCCGUAAACGAUGAAUGCUAGGUGUUGGAGGGUUUCCGCCCUUCAGUGCCGCAGCUAACGCAUUAAGCAUUCCGCCUGGGGAGUACGACCGCAAGGUUGAAACUCA
rnacentral:rRNA from 1 species